CCUCCCUCCCACACAGCUGCCUCCCUCACUCGCUCGCUCCUCAUCCGGCGACGGCGGCGGCGGCUCCUGCGCCCGCGUUCUUCCUUCCCCAACACGCCACCGCGUGGCCCCGCACGCCUAGGCGGCUCCUUCCUCUCCUCCCCGCCCGCGUUGUUGCCCCCGCUCGUCCCCGCCCCCUCGCGCCCUCCCCUUCUCCCCGCCCUCUCGCUGCUCAGCAGGAGGAGCGCGGCUCACCGUCGUGGACUACGGCGCUCCUCCCGCCUCUCCCCAUCGCGCCGCCCCCCGCCUCUCCAUGGAGCCUGCUUCCUCACCCAUAUCCCCGGCGGCCAGAUCCACGACGCCGUCCUCCUCCACGACCACGCAGCCGCAACGGUGGAGGAGGAGCCAUGGAUCCCGAACCCUAGCCCGUGGGCAUCAGGCAGGAGGAGGCGACCACGCAGCCAUGGAUCUGUGGGGCGAAGCCAUGGAAGGGCCACCACCAACAGCACCUAUGGUCAUGGAGCGCCGUCGCCGCCUGGACCAAGCUCCCUGCUCCACUGACCAAGAACGCUCGAUUCCGGCCGCCUGCAGCACAUCAGGCCAUCAGCUAACAGGUCCCUUAUCUUGUUCCUCGAUUAGUUUGUUGUUCUGACCGCCUGCAAUACAAACCAAACUUAACUGAUAUGUGAGCCUGCAGUACAAACCAAACUGAACUUAUCUUCUUUCUCUGAAUAUGUAUGCCAUGGUUUGACCUUUAGAUAUAGCAGUUCUGAAAUUAGAUAUUGUUCUGAAAAUCAGAUAUUGUUCUGAAAAUCAGAUAUUGUUGAAUUUAAGAGAAGCUACAGCAAUCAAUCGUAGCUAACUGGUUGUAUGGAUUCACAUGGUUUCCAGAACUCUUUUCAUAGCUUGCUGAUCAAUUGGUGGAGGACAAUAUGUGCACUACUUUUCUUGAUCAAGUCACUUUUCUAUCAUGUUUGAGCUCACCAAUGGUGAUGUAGUCAACAUAUAUCUCUUCUUCAGCUAACCUGUUCAUGCCAAGGGCUUAAGUAUGGGUGAUCAUUCUUUUCACUUUCUCUGAAUCUCCUACCUUUUAUGAACCAAAAGAUCUUAUAGGGAGCUGGUAAAAAUAGAAUAUAUUAAAUUUGUUUUAGUACUUUUUUUAGUGCUGAAAAUUUAUGCCUUGAUUUGCCAUUGUAUAGUGACUGUUCAGAAAAUUUAUGUCUUGAUUUUCCAUCGUAUAGUGACGGUACAUGAUAUGUUGUAUUGUUCAUUUACAAACUAAUUACUAUACUUUUCAUUGGCAGCAACAAAAAGGAAAAGGAUGGUGUGCAACAAAAGGAAAAUGAUGGUGUGCAACAAAAGAAAAAAAAAGAUGACGUGGAGCCUCAAGUACAAGUGAAGAAGUUAUAUUUGUGGAUAUGUCAGAAAGGCAUUAGGCUACUGCCUGUGACUGUUUUACCUUGAUUUGCCAGGCAUCCCAGGAGAUGGGAGUUGCUUAUUUUGCUCUGUGGUACAUAGAGCAUGCGUCCUCUCAGGGAAACCUAUACCUAAUGAAAAUCUUAAAUGAAAGCUAGCUGAUGAAUUCAGGAAGCAGCUAUACAAAUCCAUCAUUGUUUAGGCCGCUGAUGAAUCUGUCACUAGACGGGAAGAGACUUAAUGGUUUGUUGAAGGCGAUUUCAUACAUACAUUCCAGAUUAGGCGACCACAUGUGUGUGGUUGUGAGCCCGAACUGUUCAUGGCUUCACAUGUUCUCCAUGUUCUCAUUUGGGUUCAGUAUCUACAUAUAUGAACAUAGUGACUAUUAUCCCAAGCGCGCGUAGGGAGCUCUUGCUUGCUACACCAGCGACAGGCGCAUGAGCUUUCCGAUCCACGGCAACACCAGUCAACAGGGUACGACGAGGAUUCAUUGUAAGGAAAGUUAGUCUGGCCUCAGAUUUUACAUGGUCUGAUGCUCAAACAUCAAUGGAAUUGUUCAAGUCGUGCUCAGCGACGAUCAUUGCAGGCUCCAUUUGUUAUUAAAAUCUGCUAAUUGUUGUGUUCUCUUUACUUUGUAUUUUAUAAACUGCUACACAUAUCUGGCCUUUUGCUCAGUCAAUUGUGAGUUAGGAAGUGCGGCUUGCCGCACCCGGCUGGAAUCUUAAUUGUAUGAGGGUGAACAACAAAUGACUGGAUACAUGGUUUAUGCAUAUUUGUGUGAACUUUUAAACCAACAAACAUGUUAAUUAUUUUCUUUACUUACUCUAGCAAACAGUAGUCUUGAUUUAUGUAUUGGAAUAUUAGUUGUGUGCAAUGUUCUUACUGUUACAUGACAACUAUUGCUUCUGAACCCCCUCCUUUUAUUCGCUCUACUUUGUAAUGUAAUAGAGCUGCUAUCGCAUGUUGAUACUUGACAUUACUGCUAUGCUUUAGGCAUGUUUUUUUUAUCAAUUAGCUUCUGCUUUUUUGAUAAACAUGAAUUUGUUCUCUUCCUUUUCUAUCAAAUUGGCACAUAUAUGGUAUUGUUUGUCAGUUCUUUUAAGCAUAGUGGUACACAAGAGUUUUGAUUUUUUUUGUUCUGCUUUGGAUGAAUUGUUGUUCUAGCGGCGGAUGAUUUUUUCCUUCUCUUCACAAAUCAAGGAUCGGCUUAUUGUCCUGGUUAUAUGCACCGAGUGGAACAGAGCUUGCAUCUGUUCUUUUUUAUUGCUUUGAAAUGUUUCCAAAAACAUUAUACCAUGAUUUGCUCUAAUUCUAUCAACUCAAUGGUGGAAACCAAAUAUUUUUUUUAGAUCCUGUCAUGUCUUCCCGAUCAUUAGUUCAUGUAUGGUUUUAGAUGUUCUGUGUGAUUAUUCCUUGUCGUAUGAGUAGAUGGUUGUGGAUUCAAUCUGUUUGGCCGUUGCUCUGUCAAGAAACAUGUGGCCCGCGUAUGCAUAUGAUAUUUUAGCGGCCCUUCUGUUUGCUGGUUAUGAUGUGUCAUGAUGGUGAAAUAAAUUGUGGAUUUCGAUUCAAGCCUUGAGUCAUGAAAAUCCAAUAAGAGGUAGUCCGUGUAUGAUCAUUAGGCUAUGAUUUUUUAUGUUCCAAUGUAUGGUUCUUGGUAUGGUUUUGGCAUCUAAGGGGCUGUUUGGUUUGUGACUAACUUUGCCAAAUGUUGCCACACCUAAAGCUAGGCAAGUUUGACUAACUUAGGUGAGUGUUUGGGUCAAGCCACACCUUCGGCAAGCCACACUUGGACCCCACAUGGCAUACACAUACAAAAUGUGGCAAGAUUCCCUUAGGCUUGCCAACUUGUGGCUUUCAUUUUGGUGAACUAACCUUAGGCAAGCUUGGCAAAAAUAUGUGGCAAAGUUUGGCAAUGCUAGGCUUAGAACCAAACAGCCCCUAAGUUAUUGUUGGUCAUGUGUGGUGUUGUUGCUUAUUUAGGUUUGUUCUUUUGAGAUGCACAGGGGCGUUGUUAGGAUUUGUCCGUGCUUUCUAGAACCGUUGCUGGGGAAAAUUCUUGUCACUAUUGUUUGGUGCCGUUGUUAAGGCUUGCUGCUUCUUUGGACUGCCUUUGUUGCAGCCUUACUAAAAUUGGAGAUGUAAUGUUUUGGCUACUAAUUAGUAAGAAUGGCAAGAUAAGAUUUAGCCUAUGAAUGCACGACCCAUUUGCUGCUCCCUCCCCUAUGGGCGAUUCAACCUCAUGCCCCGCCUCCGCUCAACCCAAGCCCCGUUCAUCCAGCAGGCCGUACGGUGUUGUUUGAUCGCUCAGCUAAAGGGUCUCCAACCAGGAUGCAUCAAGGCAUAUGCUAGCACCAUGGGGAAACAAAUCGUGAACAUGCUUGGUGAACUCGCCACAAAGGAGGUCGCCCGGCUGUGGAGGUUUAAAGACUAUGUUGAUGCCAUGAUGGACAAGAUGCAAGAUCUGGAAGCCGUUUACACGAUGCGGAUGAUAGGCCGCGCCAAGGAGGGAGAGACGGGGAAGUUGUUGGGAGGUGGCUCGCCAAAUUCAAGUCUGUCACCGAAGACGGAGGACGUGCUGAACGACCUGGACGCUGCAGAUCAACAUGGACAUGGACUUUUCACUUUCUAGAGUAACACACUGACAUGGCAUAGUAGUAGGCGACGGUUCUUUCAUUAUAACGGCUUAUAAUUAUCAUCAGACUCAUACUAUUAUGCAAAUGCUUCCUAUGAUUUCAUUGGUUAAAUUGUAUAAUUGUGACAGGUUCAUAUAUCAAUGUCAAGAAAGAGCUGAGCAACGGGACGACCUGACAAAGCUAUCAAAUAUUAGGUUACAUGGCAGCUACUUAGGCUCUUUAUAUUGCACAGGCCUUAUGGAUCCCUUUGUCUAUAAUUACUGAACUACCAUAUUUAAUUUGUGAUGACUCAUCGUGUUGGUUUACUUUUGGAAUCAAAAUGUUAUGUUGCUAAGCCUUCGGUGUAAAUGAUUGCACCACCUUUUGGUCCAGUCUGGAUGGAUGCCAUGUGUUGGACACAAU
rnacentral:rRNA from 1 species